rnacentral:rRNA from 1 species
GACGAACGCUGGCGGCGUGCCUAACACAUGCAAGUCGAGCGGAGAGGCCCGGCGUUUGUGCGGUGCUCGAGUGGCGAGCAGGGGAGUGUAACGUGAGUAGCAUGCCCUUGACUGUGGGGUACCUUCUGGAAACUGGAGCGAUUAUCGCGUAGAACCUCCUUCUGCAUGGGGGGGAAGGGUAAGAUUCGGCGGUUGGGGAUGCACAGGUGGCUUAUCAGCUUGUUGGUGGGGUAGUGGGUUACCAGGGCUUGGACGGGUAGCCGGCCUGCGAGGGUGACCGGCCACAUUGGGACUGAGGUACGGCCCGGACGCCUACGGGAGGCAGCAGUGGAGAAUAUUGCACAAUGGGCGGAAGCAUGAUGGAGCAACGUCGGGUCGGGGAUGACGGCCUGCGGGGUGUAAACCGCUUUAGCCUGUGACGAAGCGUGAGUGACGGUAAUGGGUAAAGAAGCACCGGCUAACUACGUG